CCUACGGGAGGCAGCAGUGGGGAAUAUUGCACAAUGGGCGCAAGCCUGAUGCAGCGACGCCGCGUGAGGGAUGACGGCCUUCGGGUUGUAAACCUCUUUCAGUAGGGAAGAAGCGAAAGUGACGGUACCUGCAGAAGAAGCGCCGGCUAACUACGUGCCAGCAGCCGCGGUAAUACGUAGGGCGCAAGCGUUAUCCGGAAUUAUUGGGCGUAAAGAGCUCGUAGGCGGUUUGUCGCGUCUGCCGUGAAAGUCCGGGGCUCAACUCCGGAUCUGCGGUGGGUACGGGCAGACUAGAGUGAUGUAGGGGAGACUGGAAUUCCUGGUGUAGCGGUGAAAUGCGCAGAUAUCAGGAGGAACACCGAUGGCGAAGGCAGGUCUCUGGGCAUUAACUGACGCUGAGGAGCGAAAGCAUGGGGAGCGAACAGGAUUAGAUACCCUGGUAGUCCAUGCCGUAAACGUUGGGCACUAGGUGUGGGGGACAUUCCACGUUUUCCGCGCCGUAGCUAACGCAUUAAGUGCCCGCCUGGGGAGUACGGCCGCAAGGCUAAAACUUAAAUUGAAUUGACGGCUGNGNGNGCGAGACGACACGAGGAGAG
rnacentral:rRNA from 1 species